rnacentral:sRNA from 1 species
GCCGGGUGUGGUGGUGCACGCCUGUAAUCUCAGCUGCUCUGGAGGCUGAGACAGGAGGAUUGCAAGUUCAAAGACAGCCUCAGCAAAGAUGAGGCACUAAGCAACUCAAUGAGACCCCAUCUCUA